GAUGAACGCUAGCGGGAGGCCUAACACAUGCAAGCCGAGCGGUAUUGUUUCUUCGGAAAUGGAGAGAGCGGCGUACGGGUGCGGAACACGUGUGCAACCUGCCUUUAUCUGGGGGAUAGCCUUUCGAAAGGAAGAUUAAUACUCCAUAAUAUAUUGAACGGCAUCGUUUAAUAUUGAAAGCUCCGGCGGAUAGAGAUGGGCACGCGCAAGAUUAGCUAGUUGGUGAGGUAACGGCUCACCAAGGCAAUGAUCUUUAGGGGGCCUGAGAGGGUGAUCCCCCAACUGGUACUGAGACACGGACCAGACUCCUACGGGAGCAGCAGUGAGGAAUAUUGGUCAAUGGGUGCAAGCCUGAACCAGCCAUCCCGCGUGAAGGACGACUGCCCUAUGGGUUGUAAACUUCUUUUGUAUAGGGAUAAACCUUUCACGUGUGGAAAGCUGAAGGUACUAUACGAAUAAGCACCGGCUAACUCCGUGCCAGCAGCCGCGGUAAACCGAGAGUA
rnacentral:rRNA from 1 species